UACGGAGGGUGCGAGCGUUGUCCGGAAUCACUGGGCGUAAAGGGCGCGUAGGCGGCUCAUGAAGGCUGUGGUGAAAGUCCGGGGCUCAACCUCGGAUCGGCCGUGGCGACUCGUGGGCUGGAGCACUGUAGAGGCGGGUGGAAUUCCGGGUGUAGCGGUGGAAUGCGUAGAGAUGUGGAGGAACACCAGUGGCGAAGGCGACUUUCUGGCCUAUAACUGACGCUGAGGCGCGAAAGCGUGGGGAGCAAACAGG
rnacentral:rRNA from 1 species